rnacentral:lncRNA from 1 species
GCCAACAUGGUGAUGGAGAAGGAGCGAGGGCUCUACAUUUUGAUCCACAGGCAGUUAGAAAGAGACUGUGUUCCACACUGGGUGUAGCUUGAACAUUGGAGACCUCAAAUCCCAGCCCUACAGUGACAUACUUCCCCCAACAAGACCACACACACUCCAACAAGGCCAUAGCUCCUAGUAGUGCCACUCCCUAUGGGCCAGACAUUCAAACACAUGAGCGUAAGGAGGCCAAACCUAUUCGAAGCACUACAGGGGCCAACAUGAUUUGAUAGCUAUUAAACUUUGCCUGGUACCCUGUCUGCCUUGAGUGGAGGAUUAUCAGUCAUGUAGCUGGCUCUGAUUGGCCUCAUGGAUUUCUUGAGGAAGCCAUACAGCAGCCAAAGCUGUUGACUGCUCUAGCAGACCUCCUACUCCAAAGCCAUCACCCCCGUCCUGACUGCUUCAAACAGCUUGCACUAGACUUUUGCCACCACAAGCGUGGUGAACUCUAGCAGCCAUUUCCACAGAGGACAGACAGAAGGGGGAACAUGCCACUGGCGGCUCAGCAGAAGACCUGUGAUUGAGGCACACAUGGCCCUUGAUUUGUUUGAAGGACCACACCAACAUGGCGAUGGUGCAGAUAUCCUUGGCACAGCGCCUUUCUGGGUAUAUAAGAAGUCAUUUCAGUUCACUUUAUACUCAGCUGCAGGACACUCUUUUGCACUGAACCCUGGGGUUGCAGCAUUAGCUCAAAUGCAAGGCUUCUCCUGAAGGCGCUUUUCUUACUGUCUUUUGGUCCUUAUCAUUAGUAAAGUAGAAUGAGAUGGUGACAUGAAGAGGUGAGGGUGGAACCCAAAGCUAUGGUAGCAGUGACAGCAGGAGCAGUAAGAGGGUGGCUGAAGAGUUGCUGAGAACACCAGGUUAGAAAUGUGGGAAUGGAGAUAUCAAAGAGAGAUAGAAGGCUUUGAAGAACCAGGGAUGAGAAACUGCUAGCUACAGUUGCUUGAAGAUUUCCGAGGAGCUGCCAGGUCUUAAGGGGCCAGGGUCCUAGACACAUUAGGCCCGAGAGCUGUGACACUCACCACUGUAGGAACUAAAGCUCCAGAUACUGAAUCUCAUUAAGGAGUGUGAAGCAAGCUGUGGGAGAUGAGGGUUACAGUGGCUGCUAAUUAAAACCCAGAGCAGUGAACCUCCAGCCUCAGGACCUGGAGACGUAAGCUAAGCCUUUGGCUACUGAAGCUGGAGCAACAGGUCCCUGGCUUGCUGUGAGGCUGCCAUGCCAGCCCCAGGGGAACUCCCGUCACCUACUCACCUCUUUUUCUAAAGCAGGAUGCCAGACAGCAGGCUGAACUUGCCCACCUACUGCACUUCCCUUGGAAUGAUUCUUGCCUUUUGACAGUUAGUAUAACACAAUGGGGCGUUUGCAGCAUUGGAGAACCUGCAGUUAAGCUCUUCCCUAGAGGACAGAGCACAGCAGAGGAGGCUGGUUGGAGGAGGAGCCCUCAGACACUACCUCCUGGUUUGACUCACGUCCCAAGACAUCAUAAAAAAUAGCUCAGGAACUCGUAUUUGGGUCAGCCUGACCAUCUCAAUUUUUGCCCUGAGAACUAACUUUUCCAAGGUUCUCUUCUCUGGAACUUUCCACUGUCUACUUACUCAGGACAGGCUCCCUUUCCAUUGGGAGGGACAGGACAGGGCACAGGUCUUGGAACUGAACUUCCAGUGAUGUUUUUAACCUAAUAAACAGGGUUGAUUUACUGCAGCCAUGUGACUUACCCAGUGGGACUGUGAGCCAUGAAUCCCUGGAAAGCAGCUUGCAGCCCCUGCUUCUCUCUCUCUCUCUCUCUCUCUCUCUCUCUCUCUCUCUCUCUCUCUCUCUCUCUGUGUGUGUGUGUGUGUGUGUGUGUGUUGCUGUGGCUGAUGUUCCUUGCCUAGCUCCUAAAGUCAUCGUGAUGGAUACUUGGUAAAUAGAUGUGUUCUAUGGCAUGAGUUGUUAGAGAGACAGGCACAGGAGUUACUUCUGCUUAGGGCUGGGGCACGAGUGUCAGGGAGAGCUGCCCCAAGGUGAUAGAGGAUGGGUAGAAGAGUCUAGUACUAAGGUAGGUGAUACAGGUACAUUGCUUCAUCAGGGCCUCGUGGAGACUUGUGGGCCAGCAUUGGCUGAGAGUUAUUAAGUGUGGGACUUAAAAGAAAUUAGGAGCCCCAUCCCCACUGAGGAUGGUGAUUCCCAGUCUUUCCAUUACAGGGCCAGAGAAGGGACUGAGACUCACCCGCCCAACCUUGCUUAUAAACAUGUGUGUUCUGGGAGUCCGUUUUUUACCUCAUUGGGACUCAGAAGUGCUCUGGCCUACAGUUGCUUAUGGACACAACUCUAGAUAUCAGAAAUCAGAAUUUCUCCUAAAGGUCAGGUACAGGCUGAGAAGGCUCGGCUGAGAAAGAUUGAGACGCAGGGUAUGGCAGGUGAGAGGGUGCAGCACCAAGCCCUGCCAGGCUUCCAUGUAGUGGUAGGGACUGGGGUGGUGUCAGGCUGGUAGGUAUUCUUGGCAGUUUGAGGCUGAUCUUGGCAGUAAAAAAGGCUCUCAGCUUUCAUAACACUCAAAUUGAUCCGCAGUUAGCUGUCAGAAACUGGGGCUUUGAGUCUGAUCAUAGGCCAGGCUCCUGGGAUAGACACAGCACCCCGUCCUCCAAUUUUUAUUGGUAUUGGACACCUUCUCAUGCUAAGCACUGUGCUAGGGCCUGAGAAUAGAAAACCAGAUAAACAGAGGCCUGUUUUGAUGGGGCUCACAUGAAGUGGGUGGGGCAGUGAUAAUGUGUGUGUCUGGUGUCUGUGUAUCUGUGAGUCUAUGUGUGCGUGUCUGUGCAUCUGUGAGUCUGUGUGUUUGUGUCUGUGUCUGUACGUGUGUCUGUAUAUCUGUGAGUCUGUGUGUGUCUAUGUAUCUGUGAGUCUGAGUGUCUGUGUAUCUGUGUUUGUGUCUGUGUGUGUGUGUCUGUAUAUCUGUGAGUCUGUGUGUGUCUAUGUAUCUGGGUGUCAGUGUGUUUGUAUCUGUGUGUCUGUGAGUCUGUGUUAUGUCAGACUUAAGUGUAGCAAAGAGUGUUUACUUGGGGUCUGAGUUGGAACUAUAGCUCAGUGAUAGAAUAAUUGCCUGCAUGUGUGUGAUCCUGAGUUGCCAACACUGUCC